GAUGAACGCUGGCGGCGUGCCUAAUACAUGCAAGUCGAGCGAACAGAUAAGGAGCUUGCUCCUUUGACGUUAGCGGCGGACGGGUGAGUAACACGUGGGUAACCUACCUAUAAGACUGGAAUAACUCCGGGAAACCGGGGCUAAUGCCGGAUAACAUUUAGAACCGCAUGGUUCUAAAGUGAAAGAUGGUUUUGCUAUCACUUAUAGAUGGACCCGCGCCGUAUUAGCUAGUUGGUAAGGUAACGGCUUACCAAGGCAACGAUACGUAGCCGACCUGAGAGGGUGAUCGGCCACACUGGAACUGAGACACGGUCCAGACUCCUACGGGAGGCAGCAGUAGGGGAUCUUCCGCAAUGGGCGAAAGCCUGACGGAGCAACGCCGCGUGAGUGAAGAAGGGCUUCGGAUCGUAAAACUCUGUUAUUAGGGAAGAACAAAUGUGUAAGUAACUGUGCACGUCUUGACGGGACCUAAUCAGAAAGCCACGGCUAACUACGUG
rnacentral:rRNA from 1 species